GGAGUAUGGACCGUGUCUCAGUUCCAUUGUGGCCGUUCAUCCUCUCAGACCGGCUACCGAUCGUCGGUUUGGUGCGCCUUUACCACACCAACUGCCUAAUCGGACGCAGGCUCCUCGCAAAGCGAUAAAUCUUUAGUACAAGCCCCAUGCGAAGCCUGUACAACAUCCGGUAUUAGCGUCCUUUUCAGAACGUUAUUCCCCUCUCAAAGGCAGGUUACUCACGCGUUACUCACCCGUCCGCCACUAAACUAGAAUUCCGUUUCUCCGAAGAGAUCCUUCCUAGUAGUUCCGUUCGACUUGCAUGUGUUAGGCACGCCGCCAGCG
rnacentral:rRNA from 1 species